rnacentral:rRNA from 1 species
UACAGGGGUCCCAAGCGUUGUUCGGAUUCACUGGGCGUAAAGGGUGCGUAGGCGGUCGGGUAAUCUGAUGUGAAAUCUCACAGCUUAACUGUGAAACUGCAUUGGAUACUAUCCGGCUAGAGGAAUGGAGGGGAGACUGGAAUACUUGGUGUAGCAGUGAAAUGCGUAGAUAUCAAGUGGAACACCAGUGGCGAAGGCGAGUCUCUGGACAUUUCCUGACGCUGAGGCACGAAAGCCAGGGGAGCAAACGGG